UGUGAGAUUGUAGAGCUUGCAGAAAUCUCUCUGUGCCUCAGUCUCCCCACGGGGAAAUGUGGGAGCCUUUAUUCCCCCAUUUGACAUCUCACACUGGCAAGAAAAGCCAAAAUCCCUUGAAAUUCAGAAUGCUGAGAAGUGAAUGUGAGACAGACUACUCUGUUUUCAUUUCCCAAGGAUCAGCUUCAAAGGACCCUCGAGUGAAUUCAAGCAUUGGCAUUCACUCCUCUUGGACUGGAUCAGCACGAAUUCUUCAGAACAUGCCCAGAAUUCCUGUUCCUGAUGGCUCCACGAUGCAGGAUCUUCUCUUGCUGAGAAGGAGCCCUCCUGGAGAAGGCUUCACAUCCAGGCUGUCACUGCAGCUCCUGGCAGUGCCACCACCCCAGCU